ensembl:snRNA U6 U6 spliceosomal RNA
GUGCUCAUUUUGGCAGUACAUAUACUAAAAUUGGAAUGAUACAGAGAAGAUUAGCAUGGCCUCUGAGCAAGGAUGACAUGCAAAUUCAUUAAGUAUUCCAUAUAAAA